rnacentral:rRNA from 1 species
UGGUGGAGUGAUUUGUCUGGUUAAUUCCGUUAACGAACGAGACCCCUGCCUGCUAAAUAGUCUGGCGAGUGAUCUUCACUGGCUCUGGCUUCUUAGAGGGACGUGCAUUCGACUAGUUGCAGGAAGAUAGGGACAAUAACA